rnacentral:rRNA from 1 species
AGUUCGAUUCUGGCUCAGAUUGAACGCUGGCGGGAUGCUUUACACAUGCAGUCGAACGGCAGCACGGACUUCGGUCUGGUGGCGAGUGGCGAACGGGUGAGUAAUGUAUUUGAAUGUGCCUAGUAGCGGGGGAUAACUACGCGAAAGCGUAGCUAAUACCGUAUACGCCCUUCGGGGGAAAGCGGGGGACCUUUCGGGCCUCGCACUAUUAGAGCGGCCGAUAUCGGAUUAGCUAGUUGGUGGGGUAACGGCUCACCAAGGCGACGAUCCGUAGCUGUCGAGGACACCAGCCACACGGACCGAGACAUUUGGCCCAGACUGCUGGAGGCAGCAGGGGAAUUUUGGACAAUGGGGAAACCCCGAUCCAGCCAUCCCUGGCGUGCGAUGAAGGCCUUCGGCUGUAAAGCACCUUUGGCAGGGAAAGAAACGGCACGGGAUAAUACCCCGUGCAACUGACGGUACCUGCAGAAUAAGCACCGGCUAACUACGCGCCAGCAGCCAUGCAGGUAAUACGUAGGGUGCAAGCGUUAAUCGGAAUUACUGGCGUAAAGCGUGCGCAGGCGGUUCGAAAAGAAAGAUGUGAAAUCCCAGAGCUUAACUUUGGAACUGCAUUUUUAACUACCGGAGCGAGUGUGUCAGAGGGAGGUGGAAUUCCGCGUGUAGCAGUGAACGCGUAGAUAUGCGGAGGAAACGAUGGCGAAGUGCACUUCCUGGGAUAACACUGACGCUCAUGCACGAAAGCGUGGGGAGCAAACAGGAUUAGAUACCCUGUGGUCCGCUCAAACGAUGCCGAACACGUCGGGGCCUUCGGGCCUAGGUAGCGCAGCUAACGCGUGAAGUUGACCGCCUGGGGAGUACGGUCGCAAGAUUAAAAACCCAGCGAAUUGACGGGGACCCGCACAAGCGGUGGAUGAUGGGAUUAACGGAUGCAACGAAAACCUUACCUACCCUUGACAUGUCUGGAAUCCCGAAGAGAUUUGGGAGUGCUCGCAAGAGAACCGGAACACAGGUGCUGCAUGGCUGUCGUCAGCUCGUGUCGUGAGAUGUUGGGUUAAGUCCCGCAACGAGCGCAACCCUUGUCAUUAGUUGCUGCUGAAAGGGCACUCUAUCGGAGACUGCCAGGACAAACGAGAAGGUGUGGGGAUGACGUCGGGUUCAUGGCCUUUCGGGCGGUAGGGCUUCACACGUCAUACAAUGGCUGGACAGAGGGUCGCCAACCCGCGAGGAGCCAUCCAGGAAACCGAUCAGAACUGGAUCGCAGUCUGCAACUCGACUGCGUGAAGUCGGAAUCGCUAGUAAUCGCGGAUCAGCAUGUUGCAGAAUACGUUCCUGGUCUUGGUAAGACAUCCGCUCCGGGUCACACUGAUAGGAGUGGUUUUACCAGAAGUAGUUAGCCUAACCGUGAGGAGGGCGAUUACCACGGUAGGAUUCAUGACUGGGGUGAAGUCGUAACAAGGUAG